rnacentral:rRNA from 1 species
GACGGAGGAUGCAAGAGUUAUACGGAAUUAUUGGGCGUAAAGCGUUCGCAGGUGGCUGUUCAAGUCUGCUGUCAAAGACCUGGGCUUAAACCCAGAAAGGCAGUGGAAACUGAACGGCUGGAGUGCAGUAUGGGUAGAGGGAAUUCCCAGUGUAACGGUGAAAUGCGUAUAGAUUGGGAAGAACACCGGUGGCGAAAGCGCUCUGCUGGACUGCAACUGACACUGAGGGACGAAAGCUAGGGGAGCGAAAGGG